UGGGGAAUUUUGGACAAUGGGCGCAAGCCUGAUCCAGCCAUGCCGCGUGAGUGAAGAAGGCCUUCGGGUUGUAAAGCUCUUUCGGCAGGAACGAAAUGGUACGUGCUAAUACCACGGACUGAUGACGGUACCUGAAGAAGAAGCACCGGCUAACUACGUGCCAGCAGCCGCGGUAAUACGUAGGGUGCAGGCGUUAAUCGGAAUUACUGGGCGUAAAGCGUGCGCAGGCGGUUUCUUAAGUCAGAUGUGAAAGCCCCGGGCUUAACCUGGGAACUGCGUUUGAAACUGGGAGACUUGAGUGUGGCAGAGGGGGGUGGAAUUCCACGUGUAGCAGUGAAAUGCGUAGAUAUGUGGAGGAACACCGAUGGCGAAGGCAGCCCCCUGGGCUAACACUGACGCUCAUGCACGAAAGCGUGGGGAGCAAACAGG
rnacentral:rRNA from 1 species